GGAAUCUCAUUUAUUGGUUUCAUGGAUCUUUGCAGGCUGUGACUGUGACCUCACUGUGUUGGGUUCUCUGCAGACACAGAGCAGGAGCUGUGCCCUGCUGCCAGCAGCACAGGGUGGCUUGGGGUGAAGGGAAAGGAAAAGGGAAAAGGGGAAAGGAAAAAGGAAAAGGGGAAGGGAGAGAGGAAGGGUAAAAGGAAAUCUUCCCAUGAGAAGACUCAACAGCAAAGCAAUGGCCAGUUCUUGGUCCUAGCAGUGCCAGCCAAUUCCCCCUGCUGCUGCACCAGCUGCAGAAUUGGACUUCCAGGGCAGGAAUUUCAGGAAUGAAGAAAUACCUGGUGUCAUUCAAAGCAGCUAAGUAGAGAAUCCCUGACUGAUGACAGACAUUUUCUUCCCAUAGCUACUGACCUCCUAUGUUCACCCCUUCAAAUUCCCUGGCAAUAUUAAUUACACACCUCUUUCCAAACCCACUGGGCCAAAUCCUGAUCACAAGAACUGAAACAGGCAGAGGAAUGUGUCAUCUUGCCAGUCUCAAACGAGAUGUGGCUGGGGAAACACAGCUCAAACUCAUUGUCAAACCCACACCAAGCUGUAGUGCAACCACAACCACCAGCCAGGGAUGAAUUAACAACCACUUUCCUAAUUGUUACUGCCUUCUGAGGUCACCCUGUAAUCCCAGGCUUUGGAAUCUGAUCCAGGGCCCACUCCAGCCUUUGUGAGUCUUUCCAGAGAGCUGAACAAAACCUGGUUCAAGUCCCUGAGAGUUCCUCAUGUGUCAGCCUAAUCCAAUGAAAUGAAUCUUUGCUUUACCCCAGCUGCCAGGUACCGUCCCUCCUGUGAGGGUCUUACUUUGGUACAGAUCCCUCAUAUGUUUCCUAUACUCCAAGAGUCAUUUACUUUUAACACAAAAUCACUUGUUUAUUAAAGGUCUCCAUUUACAGCAAAAGAACACUUUUUAAAUUCCCAUUAAACUGAGAACCAUGACGCUGGAAGCCAAAUUAAUUCUCCUACACCAAGUUAAAAAUGAUCCCCUAAAUGUUAUGAUGCCUGCCAUGUUUAGUUUCUAUAUUUAUACCUCAGGCAUACAGUUACUGACAAAACUAAAGGCACUGAUAAGAUCUCUCCCAGAAAGCAAGAAUUUCCUUGAAAGAAAACAGACUGCAGGAUUUUAGUGUUGGAAAUCUACUGAAUGUAGAUAUAUAAAAUAUUUUAAGAGCCAAAUAGUCAAGAUCUACAAGCCUGUGGAGUUGCUCAAAAUUUUGUUAAUGAAUUUUACAUUGCUGGCUUCUUAAUGAACUAAUGCACUAAAGGGAGAGAAGCUUCUGGAACAAAAACUAGUAUGGGCAGAAAAAAGGGGAAAGAGGGAAAGGAAGAGGCUGAGGCAAGAGCAGAGGGUGAAGUGAGAAGUCAGGUCAUAAGCUGGACCUCAGAGGGGAUGGACUCUUCCUGUGCAUCUGCCUCGCUGCCCCAGGUAGCCAGAGGGACUUUCCCACCAACAAAUCACUUUUUGGGAAAUACCUUCUCCCCAGGCAAGACUUCUAUGCUGCUGCCUGCAAUGAAGGGCCCGUGCAAGGCAGUGGCACCAGGAUCCUCAGAAAAGCAGCUUUUCAUUCCACUUGUCUCACUAAGUGAGCAGUCUGGCCAACACUGCUGUCCAAAGGCUGAGCACAUUCCUGGCUGGUGUUCAGCUUUUACUCCAAAAUUCCCCUACCCUCAAAUCUAGUUUCAAUUUUACAGCUCCUGUAAACCUUGUCUCACGUGUUUUCUGAGUGUUAAAGGUGUCACAGUGUUUUCCAUCACUGCUGUACAAUACUGAGUAGUUCACAGAGCUGGCUGAAAUGCCAUUUCCCCCAUUACAUUCAGAGCACAGACAAAAUCUUUCCUUCUAUUUGAAAUAUUAUUUUUCAAGUUCUUAUAAAGGCUAUGAACAUAUUUUUUUUAAGUAACAGAAAUGCAGCUUUCUGAGACAUCCAAUUUUUCAUCUAGUCACAUAUUUCAUGUUAUAUUUGGAUAUUAUUUACCUGUUUCAGCAUGCUGAAUGUCUGUGAGUUUUCUACACUUCAGACAUCUCUGAUGCCAUGGUCUGACUGUAACAGCUCCCUCAGCCCACUGACAACACUAGGAUGGAAGUGGCAACAGGGCUAAAAUUUUUGUUUAAUCCUUUUGUUUAAAAUCAUCCACAAUGUCAGAUAGAGGAGACAAGAAGGCUUCAUUCCCAUAGUGGAAUCUGUCUAAAAUCCAAUGACACUGGAGCUAUUCUGGACCUCUGAAGAUGCUUUUGUUUGGAUUCUUGGCUGCUUUCCAGCCACUCCAUCUUUUCUUGCUGGACACUGCUCCACAGCUUGCAAACAGAGAUGCUUCUUCCCAUCUUAUUUCCUAUGUUGUUUCAAGCAUUCAUUUUACUUAUUCUUACUGGGAAGUGUUUGGGGCUGAACUAGAAAAGGAUAAAUUCUUCUUCAGCCUAAAAAUACUUAAGUGGUCUGUAGGCUAGCUUAAAAAGCCCUAACAUUUCCAUCUCAAACCCUGAACCUAGCCAGAGAUCACAUGCAUGCCUUUAUUAAAUAUAAAAUGCAGGACUAAAAUAUCAGCUAAAAAGGGUGCCUUUGGCACCAAGGCCAGGAAACUCUCAGGAAAGCUUUUCUUCAGUACACUCAGAGCACCCAGCAAUUGCCAGGGGUGGGUGUUCUCUAAACUUCCUCCACUUGUAAAUAAUGUAUUACUGGAGCAGAAUGUUCUGAACAGAAAUACACAGUUUUGAUUGACACCUGCAGUACAGCAACUUCUUCAAGAAAUGCUAUUUCUCUGCUCUGUGGAUGGAUGUCUCUAGAACCCCAAAAUAUGGCAACCUGCCUCAUCCUUACCAUGUCUCUGGAAUUCUUUUCUCAGUGUUGCUUCCUGACUUCAUUGCCCAGGCCACACAUCAGAGAAGCAGAAACAUAGUAAAGUGCAAGAGCUAAAUAGUUGCUAGGUUUUGCCACAAAUAAAUUUCAGCCUGACUGUGAAAAAUAGCCUAUUUCUGUGUGGUAUUUUUAACACCUAACCAACAGCUAGAACAUGGUAAGACCCUGGUGUCUGGGGACUCUGCAUUCCAGAGACAUAAAACAUUUAGUCCUGAGGUUUCCCUCCAAGCCUUAAUAAAGAAAAGUGUGGUCUAAAAAAAUGAGAUCUUGUAUGUGAUUUUAUACACCACAGGGUCAUCUGUGGUUGGAUGCAGGGAUGUAAUUCAGGACCAUCUCAUUUCAGGUUGAUGUGAAACAUGGAGCUGGGAGGAUGAAGCAACUAAGAAUUGCAACUUUUUAAGCAGCAGUUAAGUCAAUCCUUUUAAACUUUACUGGGGAUUUACUUCAGGAGAAGCUUAUUUGUGUGGUGACCACAUCUCUGCAAAAUCUUGGCUUCAGAUGAUGAAACAUGGGAUAGGUUGAACACAUAUUUUGUUGAACAUGUGCCAAGGAACAUGUAGAUUUGACCUGAGUAAUAUUUUCAGAUAGAAAACAUGCACAGGCUGAUAACAGUGCAAAGUUUUGACCUCAGCUACCAAAGCACAUUUGCUGACUUUGACUGACUUUCUCUUUCAGAUUUGGAGCUUGAAGCCCAACACAGGUUGAAUGUAUACAAAGCAAAAGUGGGAAAAAAAUAACAUUUGCACAGAACUCAGCAAACUGACCCACACUCAGCUCUAAUGAGAACAUAAUGGUUUAUCCAGCUGCACAAAACAGAGGAAAGAAGCAUAAGAGGCAUGCCUCUGCUUUCUUGAUUUUUUAAGAUAUGUUUGGACUUCAGCACACAUGGGAGAUUUUUUUUUUCUGAAUGCAUGCAUGUACACUUCUAAAAGUGCACCACUAGCAUUUUAAACCACAUUAGAACAUCCUUAAGCCAGAAUGGAAGGUUUGAUUCCACCGAGACCAAUAAAAAAGAAAGAAUACCAACUCAUAAGACUGACUUUAUAAAUCUUGGGAUUACCCUGCAGUCUGUGGGGUAUCUUCUGUCUAACCUGCCAGCAGCCCCAGGGGGAUAGGGAUGGAUCAUGCCUUGCCCCUCCCCAGCAAACAGCCCGAGCCGUGAUUAUUGCGAGCUCUGGGAGACACACUGAGCACUGAGCCGAAAUGUUUGUGUGUGUCAGAUCAAUCUUUUCACUGACCAGGACAGCUGUACUCACAGGGGGACCACCAAUCAUCCCGCUAGGAACUGCUUCUGUCCUUCAACAGGCAAUUAACGUGAGUCCAUUACAGCUCCCCCGAGGCCCCCGCGGGGCUGCAAAAGGCAUCGACUGAAAGGUCAGAAACCUCAUGAGGACAGGGAAGAAGCUGUGCCUGGCGAAAUGGAGUGGAAAGCAGGAGCUAUUUGUCACCCGCUAGUAAUUCAAAAAAGCGGGGGAGGGAGAGGCUCGAAGGGGGUCCAAGCCUUGAGCACAACUGUGAGCACGUGGCAGUGGGAACAAGAGAAAGAGGAGCUGCAGGAGGUUCUUCUGGGACAAAGAUUUUAUCCAGUGUAGAGGUGGAGGAAGAGUCAACAGACCACAGCAGCAAACCCCACUCAACCAAUUCUACAAAGAAACUGGAAGUGAAAAAGUACCCAGGCUGAUUAAUAACCCACAGGAAAACUCUGGCAAGGAGUUCCCUGGGGACUGAGGUUCACCACUGACACAAACAUUUCAGGAGAGAACCAACAAGGAAUUAAGUGACCAGAAGCACACAGAGAGUGGCAUUCAUGAGUACCAACAUCUUUCAAAAAGAACCAACUGCUUCAGUCCAGUGGUGGAAAACCAACAAACAUGGUGGCUUGGAGGAUCUGUUACAGAUUGCUCUCUAUUUCUGUUUGGGAGUUCUGGGUGAGACCACAAAAUGAUUUGGUUGGACGUCUCAGGUGAAUCCCUGCACAAGACUCUCCACAUACACCAUCAAUCAACCCUGGCAGUUUUCCCAUGGAAAUGCAAUCAAGUGAUUGCCAGGUGGGUGACCAAAGGAGGAGAAUCAGCCUAUAUAGAAUAUUUAAUUUGCACACGAGUGCAAGGAAGAGUUAGACCAAAUUACUUAAUGCUGUUAAUUGUGAAUACUUUCAUCCAGUUCACUGGUUAACUUUCACCCACAGCACUCAAUGGGAAGUGUUAUCACUCUUGCUCUUUCCUGUGAUAAGAAUAUUUCACAGAGAUCUGGUAGAACCUGUGCAAUCAAUAGAACAAGCUGAAAUAUGGCAAAUGUUAAUUAUGCAACAACAGAACUCAAAAGGUGAACAACAAGAAUCUAAAUAGUGAAAAAUUGUCAAUUUCUUUGGACAUGAUUCUGAAUUAUUUGUGUAAUUGUAAUUUUUCUUGACGUACAAAACCUAGACUGUAAAAGAAAAAAGGGCAGGAGGAAGAAAUAAUGAACAAAUGUGUGUUGAUAUGUCCUGUCUUCAGAUUACUGUACAGGGACUGGAAACACCAUGAGCUCCACUGCCUGCAGACAGAAACAUGGUGGGCUUUGAUUCCAUCUGCACCAUCUCCAACAUGUCUUAGAUUACGUAAAAUUUCUGAAUUCUACUUUCACGCCAAAUAAAUUCUGGUGACUAUGUUCUUUGAGGAGAGAUGUGCAUCACGUGCCCAGAUUAUUUAUGAGGGUAUAAAAUGUUUGACCUUGCAGAGCACCCAUCACCCAGGGGCUGACAGGCCUGCAGGUCACUGAUGGGGGGGCUGGGUGUCCCACUGUCAGCUUUUCCAGGCCUCCUACCUACAGAGGGCCCAGGCAAGGGCAGGAAUAUCCCUGUGGAUGUCACCAUCCACUCAAUCACCUGGAGUCCCAGCAUCACAGGGAGGUCAUGGCAUAUUUCUUACCCAUUUCCACAGAAAAUUCUGCUUUCUAUCUCCUCCUCCUGUCUCUUAUCUUCUGGGUUCUAACUUAGUUUUCUCUCUGCCUUCAAUAUUUGAUGUGCACAUACACAGUGUGUGUGUGUGUUUAUAUCUACAUCUAAAUAUCUGUGCAUCUAUCCCCAAACUUUUCUUCCCCAGAUGAAGUUUAGUAAACACAUAUUGUGGAUUCAGGUAAACUACAAUUGCAGAAAACAUUUUGUUCUGAUAUUUACUGCCUCGCUCCCCUUUCCAAAAUGCCCAAGGGGUGGCAGGUGAGUUCAUUCCCGAGGGCUGCCUGCACUCCUCACACCCAGCACCACAGGGCUUUAUCCUCGGCAGCAGCAGGCUGAUGUUUAAAAGAAGCUGCCAAUUAGUAUCCAAGACACCAGUUAACAAGAUAGUUUCUUCUAAUGGCUCGUAUUGAUGAAUGAAUUAAUGAAAUUCCACAAGUUGUUUAUGUGUGCAGAGCACCGGUGUGACAGCCCUGGCAGCACAGGGACACUCAGCAGCCCAGAAGGUGACACAGGUCACCAGCCUGCCCCUCACACACUGUCUGGACAGUGCUGCAGGAGCCACCUGGGCACAGCCACAGCCCAGGGACCCCAGGGCAGCACUGCUGGCUGCAGUCACUCCAGGCAUGGCCCUGUGCUGCCCUUUAGGAAAGCUGGAAGAACAAAACUCUGGCAGUUUAUGGGAUAAACACAUCCAAAGUGCCAACACUGAGGGGAACUCAGUCUGUUUUGCCUUCAAAAUGACACUUUAAAGCUUCAAUGGUCAACCCACAUUUAUGCAGCCAGAAAGACACACAUUGAGAUGAGGAUAUUGAGGCAAGCUUGCUCUGCCUUUAAUUAGAAGACCAUUAAUAUCAAGUGCUCAAUUUUAUUUCCUGUCAAGAAAAGCUUCUACUUUUUAAGGGCACUUGAACUUUUCUAGGAGCACAAGUAGCAGCAUUCGAUUAGAACAUGGAGUAAAUACUGACAGCAUUAACAACAUUAUUGCCUCCUCAAGGCAGAUUGGAUAAGCAGGAAACAGAUUUUCACAUAUAUGCACCACUUUGCAUUGGUAGCAGAAGGUACAGAUACACAACUGUGUAGUGUCAAGAUCUGGGUCCCAGAAGAAGUUACUGCAGUGCUGCAACCUCACCCUGGCUGUGCUGAGUUUGUUUUGUCUUCCUAGGGAUAGUUUGGUUUGUUCAAAUCAAUAAAACAGUAGCUUUUUCCCAGUUGACUGAAUGUACUAUCAGAGAGCCAGAAACUCCACUCAGCUCUGGGAACUUUGCAGUGAAAUCUCAGAAAUGCAGCUGAGAUGCACCAGGGGUUUGAAGGCAGGGCCCAAGAAUGAGGUGCCCUAACUUGAUUUUGGCCACAACAAUGUGUACAAAAACAUUAAGACUGAAACAAGUAUGAGACGCACUAUGAUGCAUGUUUUAUUGACAAGAGAUCAAUAAAAUGAAGGAGAUCAUAAAUUUUGUGUACAAGCUAUCCAAGCUGUCUGUCACCUCCUGUCCUUCUCUUCCCUCCAAAAGAGAUACAGUCAUAAAACCUUAUUGAUUCAAGUCCUUCAUUCACUAUUUGGGGACAGUUCUUUGUGAACUCAACAGGCAUUUGUUUGAUUUAUCACAAAUUCAUUAGGGUUUUGAACACAUGACCAGUCCUGGAAAUGAAGUUGACAUAGCUUGUCUGACUGUGGACAUAAGAGGAAUUUGAGACUGUGGAUAAAUGAGAGUCUGUGGUGGCCAAAAAGCAGCAAUUACAUGUGAAUAGCAUGGGGGAGAGAAGCAACACAGUGAGAAAACAGAUAUGGCUAUUUUAUUUGAAUUUGAGUAUUUGAAGCAUGUUAAGGAAGAAAGCUUUUUACAAGGCAGGUGGUGAGGCCCUGGCAGAGGUUGUCCAGAGAGGUGGUGGCUGCCCCAUCCCUGGAAACAUUCAAGGUCAGUCUGGAUAGGGCUCUGAGAGACCUGAGCUAGUUCAAGAUGUCCCUGACCAUGGCAGGCGGUUGGACUGGAUGAUACUUAAAUGUCCUUCCCAGCCCUGCAUGUUCUAUGAUUUUAUUACAGCCUUCCUUAACCAGAAACCAACAUGCUUGAGGACAUAGCACUGUGCAAUCAGCCCUUCACAGAGAGAUGGAGGACAGAUUUGCAUUCAACUAACUGAUCAAAUGUUAAGAAUUUCUUAAUUGCCUUAAUAGUUUAAUUUUAUUUGUCUCUAAUCUAAUUAGUAAAGAGAAGUGUGCGUGAGGGGAGCUGAUUGAAGGGGAGGGGAAUGCCUUCAUGCCUACAAUGCAGAAACCUUCUGCUCCCUCCUGCCCCAGCCCAGACAGUGCAGGUGUCAACAGAUCCCUGUUUCCUCCUCAUUACCCCAGUGCCCUGCUGGACUGUCUGUUCUUGGAAACUUCCUUUGAAGCCUUUGAUAGCAGCAUUCAUUGCUGCUGCAGAUAAGGAGCCCAGCCUGCGAAGGAAUGACCAAGUGAGAGAGACCCAUCCUAGUGAUGAAAGCUGGCCAAGACAUCCAGGGACAGAACCUCUCCGUGCUGCUCACACAUGGACUGCUGAUGUACUCAGAAUUUAUUCACUUUUUUUUUCUCUCCUGUCUACACAUUCUACAACACUUCACAGUGUGGGAAACGCUGCAUGGGACUGACUUCCUGCCAGAUGCUGAACAUCCUCAGCUCUAGCUGCUCCAAGAGGCACCAGAGUGCCCAACCCCUCAGCUGAGGGCUCUGCAACACUCUGCAUGGACUGUUCCUUCUAAACAAUGGCCAUCACUGGUACCUGUACACAUGCACAGGGAAGGAGAUUCAUUAAUGGCUGGUCCAAAGGCUUUCUGUGCAGCCCAGCAUCGUGUCCUUUUCAUUUCAAAGCCAGCCUGUGAGAGAGCUGGGUUAGGAGGCAGCAGGAGAACAUCAUGGCAGGAAUAUUGGUGUAUUUUGGAUGCAAAGCAGAAGCUUAUCUGUUUUACUACUGCAGCACCAGAGAAAAUCAAUUUUGACACAGAACUGCCACUUUACAAGAAAAUAACUAUACUUUCCAAUAACCUAAUCUGUGCAAAGCCUACUGAAAAUUCCCUAAAGAACCAGUAGUUAAAACCUCCAUUAAAUCAAAGGGUUUAAUAUGGGAAGGGAAGAGAGGAUGCAGUUUGACUUGGGAAUGUAAUGGACUCAGUGGGGAAAUAAAUAUGUUGUUUUAUGUGUACAGUUACAGAAUUUGAGAACACAGCAUUCAUUUCAAAGGGAAUUCUCUUGCUGUGCAACUUAUUCCUAAACAGAUGUGAUUUUUGCUUAUUCAAAAACAUUUAGGUAACAAUUACAGCAUAAUAAAUUAUAAUUGCCAUCAUCUUCCAGCUAUGCUAUGACUUCUAUGCAAACACAAAGAAAAUGCAAUUAUAUAGAACUGUAAAUCCUAUUUUCAGGUAGCUUAGAGCACUGACAGAACACUUGUUUGUUUUCCUUAGAAUGAACAAUACUUUUAAAUAUCUAUCCAAAGGAAAAAGCCAUAUCUGCUAGGAGGCCUGCCAGCCUGAUAAGGUCUGUCUUACACAGCUCCUGCUCAGAGAGGGCCCAACCCUAAGGAAGUUCAUUAUCUUUUGGAAGGUGAUAUUUUACUCUUAGGUUUUAGAUUAGGAGUCUGCUUAAAUUAGUUUCUAAGCUGGUAUAUUAACUAAGCAAGGCAAGAUCAGUCUUCGAACACUGAAGGAAGAGAAAGUAACCAGAAACUGAGUGGAAAGCAGGAUUUUUAUGAUUGAGUAGUGCAGGAGAUCACACAAGAACCCAAGAGUUCAUAUAAACAUAAAUCAUUCUACAGCAUUUCAGAGAGCUGCAGCUUAGGGGUGGAAUUCUACAAGAUAACUCAAAAGUAAUCUCCUUGCAGUCUGCAACUCUUCAUUAAUUAACCUUCAUACCGUUGCUGGAUAUCACUAAAGUUUUACAGCAGUUGUGUUAGAAAUCAAUUAUAAAACACAACUUCAAUUAUAAAUAACCAAACAUUUAUAAAUGACAUCUGUUUGAAGCCUGAGUCUAAAAAGGAAUAAUAUACAUUCCAUAUUUAUUUAAUAAAGGAGACAUUGCAUGAACAGAAUGAGAGGCCGUAAAGUCCCUCAGUCAGUCACAACCCACAUCUACAUCAGGUGAGAUAAAGUCCUGCAGUGUGACGUGGAGAAACACCACAACUUGGCAAAUAUUUACUGGAAAAACACAGCAACAAUUCCAAGCUCUAGGGAAGGUCCCCAUUGAGCUCUGCUUCUCCCCAAGCUGGUGAGAACUCUCCUGAAGAAGACAGCCUCAUACUUGCAUCCCAAGGCUUCCAAAGCAAUAUUUCAGACCAACCUGAACCUCAGGAAGGAAUAUCAAGGCUGUGAAAGGGAUGCUGUCAAGCUAAGAGCUAUUUUAUCAGCACCAGUUUUAGAUAAAAAUGUUGCUUUUCUCCAAGAAAGAGCAGCAGGCCAAGGAGGAAGAAACUACCAUCACUGACAAAAUCCAGCUGUCCCCCAUCAGCACUAAGGUUUCCCUUUCCACCUCAUCUUUCAUCACUUCUUUUGUUUCCUUUAGAAAAAUAUUUAUCCUUAACAGGACGCCUGGGUUGCAUUUAACUUUCUACUGAGUAAAAUGAAAAUCAAGUUCACACUCCACUUUCAAGGAGAAGAGACGGAAGAUGGUGAAAUCAAACAAAAAAGUCUUUUAAAGACACUUUUUUUCCCAAGACCUUGGAAAGAGUUGAAAUUAGAGAAGACAGAGUAAAAGAAAACAUUUUAUAUGCUGGGUCACGUGGCACUACAUCUAAUGCUUUCAAAAACCCAUAGGGCAGAAUGACUGUCAGAAAUUAAUUUAAACAGUUGGUUAAUUGUGAUCCUUCACAAUCAUUAGUAACCACUGCAUUUAAAAGGCCCAGGAUUUAAUGGCCUGUUCUAUUUCAGAGCUAGAGCAGAGGAAUCCAUUCUCAAGGCUGGAGGAGAUUUUCAUAGUCUCAAACACACAUUAACUGGUCUGAACACUAAAUAAAUCCUGGAGAAACUGGGUUCCUCUGGAACUCCUGGAAUUUCAUCAACACCCAGGAGCAGUGGGCACAGCUGUAAUAUCAGUGAGAGGCAAGAGCAUAUCCCAGUUGUGUCCUGGCUUUGGUGCACACAUGGGUGCAGGUCCCAAAAGUGGCACAGAAUGAGACCCAGCAAGGGCAGAGCCAGGUGCUGCCAGUCCCUGGCCAGGUGGCUGCUCCAGACUCCUUCUUCAGCCACACUCAUAGUUUAAUGAUGGCAGGUGGCAGAAAUGUUUGUACUGGCAACUACAUGAAAGAGCAAAAUUUUUUCUGCAAAAUUUCCCAUUUAAAGAAUUGCAGGAUGCAUUUUUGAUGGACUUCUGAUAAACGUUAGCAAUCACAUCAGCAGCUGAAGCAGUAUCAAAACCACAAUAAUAUUGUCUGACUGGAUGCACCAGGAUGUUUUUCCUUCAGCCCAAGAUGUGGCUCUGGUGUUGAGGAGUUUAAUGCUGCUGUGCAUUUGGAGUUUGUCUCACAACCUCCUCCCUUUUAAUGUUCCUCAUUUUGUUCAUCUGCUCCACUUUCUGACGUGUCAGCAUCCUGCCUCAGAUGUGCAGGAGAUUGAAAGGUGUGCCCUGUGGGUUACGCUCUCCCUAAAUCAUCCAUGAUCUAUUCCGCUUGGCUUAAACGACUGAGUCUCAUUUGCACAAUUGCCCUAUUAAUUUACUCACCAUUGAUUUACAUGACUUUUGCUGGAAAUCCUCCACCAGACCUCUAUUUUACAUGCUCUCUCAAAAGCUCCCUUCCAGCUUUUUUCUCCCCCAUCAUGUUCCUUGUCUCAUUUCUCUUCCAUUUGCCGUCAUUCAUCUGUCUCUUAUCUUCUUCCUCCCUCUCCCUCCCACUGUUCUGUCUUCCUUCUGUUUCUUCUCUGUUCUCCUCCAUUUCCCUCCUCCCUGCAAGUCUCCCUCCUUGCUCCACAGCAGCUAAUAAAUCUACCAGGAAAGCCCAGAAGCCCCAGAAGAUACAGGUGUAAAGGCAAAGGAGCAUAAAUAAAUCAAGAUUCCUGGUGAAGAAGAGCAACAGCUGUGACUUCCUUUUGGCGAGUACAAAGACUGAUGGGUGACCAUCAUUAUCUAUCUUGCAGCACUUUACCUCGUCCUUGUGUCUUUUUGUCUUCCUGAGAGGAGCUCAGUCUUUCAGUGCAGAUUUUAUGGCUAUUUUCACCCUCUCAGCAGAUCACAUGCCCCUGGACUGGUGCCCUGAUUGCCAGUUUUACUAUGAAAACCAAACCUUUCCAUCUGAACAGACAACAGACUGCUGGGCUUUGAUAACAGGCAUAUAGAAGUGCAUGUAUACAUUAUAAAACAUAGACAAAUGUAACCAGAGAGCAGAGGCAUUUUCCAGCUCUCAUGACUGACUAUAUGCUCUGUGUGAAAACCAAUAAAUAAAUGCAGUUGUUUCUAAGCUAAAACUCUCAUUCAGUAUCUUUAAUUCAAAUUUGCAAAGGAAAAAAGGACUGAAGUGCAGAGGGUUAGACUAAGAGGACUACAAAUUUUAUUUAUAUAGUCAUAGUGGGUAAAUAAAUAACCUAACCUUAAUGCCACACUCUGCAGGGUAAAGGAGAGAGAAGAGCAUAGGAAAGAGAGGUUCAAAGAGCAGCAGACCCCAA